rnacentral:rRNA from 1 species
GAAAGCGUGGGUAGCGANCAGGAUUAGAUACCCUGGUAGUNCACGCCGUAAACGAUGAGUGCUAGGUGUUAGGCCCUUUCCGGGGCUUAGUGCCGGAGCUAACGCAAUAAGCACUCCGCCUGGGGAGUACGACCGCAAGGUUGAAACUCAAAGGAAUUGACGGGGGCCCGCACAAGCGGUGGAGCAUGUGGUUUAAUUCGAAGCAACGCGAAGAACCUUACCAGGUCUUGACAUCCCGAUGCUAUUCUUAGAGAUAGGAAGUUACUUCGGUACAUCGGAGACAGGUGGUGCAUGGUUGUCGUCAGCUCGUGUCGUGAGAUGUUGGGUUAAGUCCCGCAACGAGCGCAACCCUUAUUGUUAGUUGCCAUCAUUAAGUUGGGCACUCUAGCGAGACUGCCGGUAAUAAACCGGAGGAAGGUGGGGAUGACGUCAAAUCAUCAUGCCCCUUAUGACCUGGGCUACACACGUGCUACAAUGGUCGGUACAACGAGUUGCGAGCCGGUGACGGCAAGCUAAUCUCUGAAAGCCGAUCUCAGUUCGGAUUGGAGGCUGCAACUCGCCUCCAUGAAGUCGGAAUCGCUAGUAAUCGCGGAUCGGCACGCCGCGGUGAAUACGUUCCCGGGCCUUGUACACACCGCCCGUCACACCACGAGAGUUUGUAACACCCGAAGUCGGUGAGGUANCCUUUUAGGGGCCAGCC